AUGGGGCUCCACCUGCUGGUGGCGUUCGCGGCGGCGAGGGGCUUCGCGCAGGUGCUCCACGUCUCGGUGCGGUUGCUGUGGCCGCUCAACACCUGGCUGCCGCUCGCCUGCCACAUGCCAGAGGCCUGCGCAGUCGUCUGCGGCGCGCUCGCCGCCCACCUCGCCUGGCUGCGCCGCGCCUACGCGCGCGGCGGCAACGACUACGACGUCCUCCGCCAGGCGCUGCUGGACGUCUUCUACUGA
rnacentral:rRNA from 1 species